UACGUAGGGGGCAAGCGUUGUCCGGAUUCAUUGGGCGUAAAGAGCUCGUAGGCGGUUUGGCAAGUCGGGUGUGAAAACUCCGGGCUCAACUCGGAGACGCCACUCGAUACUGCCAUGACUCGAGUCCGGUAGGGGAGUGCGGAAUUCCUGGUGUAGCGGUGAAAUGCGCAGAUAUCAGGAGGAACACCGGUGGCGAAGGCGGCACUCUGGGCCGGUACUGACGCUGAGGAGCGAAAGCGUGGGGAGCGAACAGG
rnacentral:rRNA from 1 species